rnacentral:rRNA from 1 species
CCAGACUCCUACGGGAGGCAGCAGUGGGGAAUAUUGCACAAUGGGGGGAACCCUGAUGCAGCGACGCCGCGUGAGUGAAGAAGUAUUUCGGUAUGUAAAGCUCUGUCAGCAGGGAAGAAGAAAGACGGUACCUGACCAAGAAGCCCCGGCUAACUACGUGCCAGCAGCCGCGGUAAUACGUAGGGGGCAAGCGUUAUCCGGAUUUACUGGGUGUAAAGGGGGCGCAGACGGCGAUGCAAGCCAGGAGUGAAAGCCCGGGGCCCAACCCCGGGACUGCUCUUGGAACUGCGUGGCUGGAGUGCAGGAGGGGCAGGCGGAAUUCCUGGUGUAGCGGUGAAAUGCGUAGAUAUCAGGAGGAACACCGGUGGCGAAGGCGGCCUGCUGGACUGCAACUGACGUUGAGGCCCGAAAGCGUGGGGAGCAAACAGGAUUAGAUACCCGAGUACCA